rnacentral:rRNA from 1 species
UUGGAGGGCAAGUCUGGUGCCAGCAGCCGCGGUAAUUCCAGCUCCAAUAGCGUAUAUUAAAGUUGCUGCAGUUAAAAAGCUCGUAGUUGAAUUUCGGGACCAUCAUGUCGGUCGUGCCUCGGUACGUACUGGCAUUGUUGGUUUCUCCCUUCUGACGAACCAUGAUGUCAUUUAUUUGGUGUUGUGGGGAAUCAGGACUGUUACUUUGAAAAAAUUAGAGUGUUUAAAGCAGGCUCACGCUUGAAUACAUUAGCAUGGAAUAACGAAAUAGGACGUUUGAUUCUAUUUUGUUGGUUUCUAGGAUCGACGUAAUGAUUAAUAGGGAUAGUUGGGGGCAUUAGUAUUCAAUUGUCAGAGGUGAAAUUCUUGGAUUUAUUGAAGACUAACUACUGCGAAAGCAUUUGCCAAGGAUGUUUUCACUAAUCAAGAACGAAAGUUAGGGGAUCGAAGACGAUCAGAUACCGUCGUAGUCUUAACCAUAAACUAUGCCGACUAGGGAUCGGAUGAUGUUAGUUUUUUAAUGACUCAUUCGGCGCCUUACGGGAAACCAAAGUGUUUGGGUUC